rnacentral:rRNA from 1 species
UACGUAGGGUGCGAGCGUUAAUCGGAAUUACUGGGCGUAAAGCGUGCGCAGGCGGCGCGUUAAGACAGGUGUGAAAGCCCCGAGCUUAACUUGGGAAUUGCGCUUGUGACUGGCGUGCUGGAGUGUGGCAGAGGGAGGUGGAAUUCCACGUGUAGCAGUGAAAUGUGUAGAGAUGUGGAGGAACACCGAUGGCGAAGGCAGCCUCCUGGGCCAGCACUGACGCUCAUGCACGAAAGCGUGGGGAGCAAACAGG